UACGUAGGGUGCGAGCGUUGUCCGGAAUUAUUGGGCGUAAAGAGCUCGUAGGCGGCUUGUCGCGUCGGAUGUGAAAGCCCGGGGCUUAACUCCGGGUCUGCAUUCGAUACGGGCAGGCUAGAGUUCGGUAGGGGGAGAUCGGAAUUCCUGGUGUAGCGGUGAAAUGCGCAGAUAUCAGGAGGAACACCGAUGGCGAAGGCAGGUCUCUGGGCCACUACUGACGCUGAGAAGCGAAAGCAUGGGGAGCAAACAGG
rnacentral:rRNA from 1 species